ACCUGCCGUCUACUCUUGGACAGCCUUCUGAAAGGAAGAUUAAUACAAGAUGGCAUCAUGAGUCCGCAUGUUCACAUGAUUAAAGGUAUUCCGGUAGACGAUGGGGAUGCGUUCCAUUAGAUAGUAGGCGGGGUAACGGCCCACCUAGUCUUCGAUGGAUAGGGGUUCUGAGAGGAAGGUCCCCCACAUUGGAACUGAGACACGGUCUAAACUCCUACGGGAGGCAGCAGUGAGGAAUAUUGGUCAAUGGGCGCAGGCCUGAACCAGCCAAGUAGCGUGAAGGAUGACUGCCCUAUGGGUUGUAAACUUCUUUUAUAAAGGAAUAAAGUCGGGUAUGUAUACCCGUUUGCAUGUACUUUAUGAAUAAGGAUCGGCUAACUCCGUGCCAGCAGCCGCGGUAAUACGGAGGAUCCGAGCGUUAUCCGGAUUUAUUGGGUUUAAAGGGAGCGUAGAUGGAUGUUUAAGUCAGUUGUGAAAGUUUGCGGCUCAACCGUAAAAUUGCAGUUGAUACUGGAUAUCUUGAGUGCAGUUGAGGCAGGCGGAAUUCGUGGUGUAGCGGUGAAAUGCUUAGAUAUCACGAAGAACUCCGAUUGCGAAGGCAGCCUGCUAAGCUGCAACUGACAUUGAGGCUCGAAAGUGUGGGUAUCAAACAGGAUUAGAUACCCUGGUAGUCCACACGGUAAACGAUGAAUACUCGCUGUUUGCGAUAUACGGCAAGCGGCCAAGCGAAAGCGUUAAGUAUUCCACCUGGGG
rnacentral:rRNA from 1 species